UAGGGAAUCUUCGGCAAUGGGGGCAACCCUGACCGAGCAACGCCGCGUGAGUGAAGAAGGUUUUCGGAUCGUAAAGCUCUGUUGUAAGAGAAGAACGUGUGUGAGAGUGGAAAGUUCACACAGUGACGGUAACUUACCAGAAAGGGACGGCUAACUACGUGCCAGCAGCCGCGGUAAUACGUAGGUCCCGAGCGUUGUCCGGAUUUAUUGGGCGUAAAGCGAGCGCAGGCGGUUUAAUAAGUCUGAAGUUAAAGGCAGUGGCUUAACCAUUGUUCGCUUUGGAAAAUGUUAAACUUGAGUGCAGAAGGGGAGAGUGGAAUUCCAUGUGUAGCGGUGAAAUGCGUAGAUAUAUGGAGGAACACCGGUGGCGAAAGCGGCUCUCUGGUCUGUAACUGACGCUGAGGCUCGAAAGCGUGGGGAGCAAACAGG
rnacentral:rRNA from 1 species